UUAGUCUUCAUCAGCACACAAGGAGAGACACCAGAGUGAAGCGGCUGAGAGGACGACAGAAGAUCACACUGAAAUAUCAGUUUCAUCUAACAGAGCAAAGAUGCAGUGGAGUCUGUUUCUGCUCCUUCUGAUGGGUCAGUGUUCCUUCUUCAUGUGUCACCUCCAUGAGUACCACUUUGUUGAAGAGAAGAAGACCUGGACUGAAGCCCAGCACUACUGCAGAGAGCAUCACACUGACCUGGCCACAGUGUCUAACAUGACAGACAUGGAGAGA